rnacentral:rRNA from 1 species
UGGCGUACGGGUGCGUAACGCGUAUGCAACCUACCUUCAUCAGGGGGAUAGCCCUCGGAAACGGGGAUUAACACCGCAUAAAAACACAACCUGGCAUCAGGAAAUGUUCAAAUAUUUAUAGGAUGAAGAUGGGCAUGCGUGUCAUUAGCUAGUUGGCGAGGUAACGGCUCACCAAGGCGACGAUGACUAGGGGAUCUGAGAGGAUGACCCCCCACACUGGUACUGAGACACGGACCAGACUCCUACGGGAGGCAGCAGUAAGGAAUAUUGGUCAAUGGAGGCAACUCUGAACCAGCCAUGCCGCGUGCAGGAAGACAGCCCUAUGGGUCGUAAACUGCUUUUAUACGGGAAUAAACCUUGAUUCGUGAAUCGAGCUGAAUGUACCGUAAGAAUAAGGAUCGGCUUACUCCGUGCCAGCAGCCGCGGUAAUACGGAGGAUCCAAGCGUUAUCCGGAUUUAUUGGGUUUAAAGGGAGCGUAGGCGGCUUGUUAAGUCAGGGGUGAAAGACGGUGGCUCAACCAUCGCAGUGCCUUUGAUAC